CUUCACUCUUCAGUUGCUUCAAAGUUCACAUUUCUAAGCCGCAUUCUUCAGCUUCAUCUUCAUUCUUUGUCUGAAGCCAUAUGUAUCUCAGUGUGCAAGAGAAACUCAAACUAUGAAGGCUGCUAAUGCUGCUAAAUGAUUCUUUUAAAAAGCUGAGUGGGAUGCGCUUGCUCAAACAACUAUUACUAAUGUUCCUUUUGUGCUUUGGAUUUUCAAUUUUGUUUUGGCAGCCCGGUGCACUAAGCUCCCGCUAUGUUCGGGGUCCGGGGAAGCGCCGGACCACAAGGGUCUAUUGUACGCAACCUUACCCUGCAUUUUGCAAGAGGCUGUUUCCACGGCCUGAACCCGUGCUCUUUGGUCACACGGCAACAAUUUUACCAGUUUACCUGCUUUGGAUUUUCAAUAUGCACCUAGUUUUUGUAAGGCAAUUUCAUGUUAUAUAAGCUCAUUCCUUCUUAGAUUCGAACAUUUAUGUUACUUAACCUUAUUAGAAGGGAUGCCCUCGCAGUUGCACAAAGCGUUGCAUUCAGAUGGUGUCGUCAGCCAACUCCUUGUUCUUUUUCUUAGACCACACUCUCAGUGCAUGUAUUUGGUACUUGGAAAUGGCAAAAGUGAUAUGCGAGAACAAUUAGGCAAUCUAGAUUUAUGAAUUAUUAUAGAGAAUUUGUCGUUAAAAUGGUUAGAAUUGGGGAAGAACACACAAGGAACGAAUGGAAGAUCAAAAAGUUGGCAGAAGAAAGGACUUUUAAUGUAAAUAGUGAAGGUGUUCAUCUAUUCGUAUGAAUCUUCUGUUUCAAGUCUUUA